GGGGAGGUACCAGAGCGGUCAAAUGGGGCAGACUGUAAAUCUGUUGGCACAGCCUUCGGAGGUUCGAAUCCUCCUCUCCCCACCC
rnacentral:tRNA from 4 species